rnacentral:rRNA from 1 species
GCACAAGCGGAGGAACUAUGUGGUUAAUCGAUGAUACGCGAGGAACCUUACCUGGGCUUAAAUGUAGAGUGCAUUUCUAGAGAUAGGAAUUCCCUUCGGGGCUUUCUGCAAGGUGCUGCAUGGUUGUCGUCAGCUCGUGCCGUGAGGUGUCGGGUUAAGUCCCAUAACGAGCGCAACCCUUAUCGUUAGUUGCCAUCUGGUAAAGCAGGGGACUCUAGCGAAACUGCCACCGUAAGGUGAGAGGAAGUGGGGAUGACGUCAAAUCAGCACGGCCCUUAUGUCCAGGGCUACACACGUGUUACAAUGGCCGGUACAGAGGGCAGCUACCUGGUGACAGGAUGCUAAUCUCGAAAACCGGUCUCAGUUCGGAUCGAAGUCUGCAACUCGACUUCGUGAAGCUGGAUUCGCUAGUAAUCGCGCAUCAGCCAUGGCGCGGUGAAUACGUUCCCGGGCCUU